UCCCUUGUGGCUCAGUUGGUAAAGAAUCUGCCUUUAAUGCAGGAGACCUGGGUUUGAUCCCUGGAUUGGGAA
rnacentral:tRNA from 1 species